rnacentral:rRNA from 1 species
AGAGUUUGAUCCUGGCUCAGGACGAACGCUGGCGGCACGCUUAACACAUGCAAGUCGAACGAGAGAAGAGGAGCUUGCUUUUCUGAUCUAGUGGCGGACGGGUGAGUAACACGUGAGCAAUCUGCCUUUCAGAGGGGGAUACCGAUUGGAAACGAUCGUUAAUACCGCAUAACAUAAUUGAACCGCAUGAUUUGAUUAUCAAAGAUUUAUCGCUGAAAGAUGAGCUCGCGUCUGAUUAGCUAGUUGGUAAGGUAACGGCUUACCAAGGCGACGAUCAGUAGCCGGACUGAGAGGUUGAUCGGCCACAUUGGGACUGAGACACGGCCCAGACUCCUACGGGAGGCAGCAGUGGGGAAUAUUGCACAAUGGAGGAAACUCUGAUGCAGCGAUGCCGCGUGAGGGAAGAAGGUUUUAGGAUUGUAAACCUCUGUCUUCAGGGACGAAAAAGACGGUACCUGAGGAGGAAGCUCCGGCUAACUACGUGCCAGCAGCCGCGGUAAUACGUAGGGAGCGAGCGUUGUCCGGAAUUACUGGGUGUAAAGGGAGCGUAGGCGGGAUCGCAAGUCAGAUGUGAAAACUAUGGGCUUAACCCAUAAACUGCAUUUGAAACUGUGGUUCUUGAGUGAAGUAGAGGUAAGCGGAAUUCCUAGUGUAGCGGUGAAAUGCGUAGAUAUUAGGAGGAACAUCAGUGGCGAAGGCGGCUUACUGGGCUUUAACUGACGCUGAGGCUCGAAAGCGUGGGGAGCAAACAGGAUUAGAUACCCUGGUAGUCCACGCCGUAAACGAUGAUUACUAGGUGUGGGGGGACUGACCCCUUCCGUGCCGCAGCAAACGCAAUAAGUAAUCCACCUGGGGAGUACGACCGCAAGGUUGAAGCUCAAAGGAAUUGACGGGGGCCCGCACAAGCAGUGGAGUAUGUGGAUUAAUUCGAAGCAACGCGAAGAACCUUACCAGGUCUUGACACCGUAUGCAUAGCUCAGAGAUGAGUGAAAUCUCUUCGGAGACAUAUAGACAGGUGGUGCAUGGUUGUCGUCAGCUCGUGUCGUGAGAUGUUGGGUUAAGUCCCGCAACGAGCGCAACCCUUACUGUUAGUUGCUACGCAAGAGCACUCUAGCAGGACUGCCGUUGACAAAACGGAGGAAGGUGGGGAUGACGUCAAAUCAUCAUGCCCCUUAUGACCUGGGCCUCACACGUACUACAAUGGCUGUCAACAGAGGGAAGCAAAGCCGCGAGGUGGAGCGAACCCCUAAAAGCAGUCUUAGUUCGGAUUGUAGGCUGCAACCCGCCUACAUGAAGUCGGAAUUGCUAGUAAUCGCAGAUCAGCAUGCUGCGGUGAAUACGUUCCCGGGCCUUGUACACACCGCCCGUCACGCCAUGGGAGUCGGUAACACCCGAAGCCUGUAGUCUAACCGCAAGGAGGACGCAGUCGAAGGUGGGAUUGAUGACUGGGGUGAAGUCGUAACAAGGUA